ncrna:unclassified sequences Rhodo-rpoB RNA
GGUUCGGGAGCCGAUCGGUGGGACGGUCGGCAUGAAUGGAACCUCACCCCCUGUUUUGUGAGCGGUGGUGUGCCGGUGCCCGACGGUCGCACAU